AGAGUUUGAUCAUGGCUCAGGACGAACGCUGGCGGCGUGCUUAACACAUGCAAGUCAAGGGGAAUAGGGUAGCAAUAUCCUUAGUACACUGGCGCACGGGUGAGUAAAAUAUAAGUAACCUACCUCUAGAUAUGGGAUAACACUUCGAAAGAAAUGCUAAUACCGUAUAAUGCAGCGGCACCACAUGGUGAUGUUGUUAAAGUCGUAGUAGACGUCUAGAGAUGGGCUUGUAACUGAUUAGCUAGUUGGCGGGGUAACAGCCCACCAAGGCUACGAUCAGUAGCUGGUCUGAGAGGAUGAUCAGCCACACUGGAACUGAGACACGGUCCAGACUCCUACGGGAGGCAGCAGUGAGGAAUAUUGGGCAAUGCCCGAAAGGGUGACCCAGCAACGCCGCGUGAGUGAAGAAGGCCCUAGGGUUGUAAAGCUCUUUCGUCAGGGAAGAUAAUGACGGUACCUGAAGAAGAAGCCCCGGCUAACUCCGUGCCAGCCGCCGCGGUAAUAC
rnacentral:rRNA from 1 species